rnacentral:rRNA from 1 species
UACGUAGGGUGCAAGCGUUCAUCGGAAUUACUGGGCGUAAAGCGUGCGCAGGCGGUUGUGCAAGACAGAUGUGAAAUCCCCGGGCUUAACCUGGGAAUGGCAUUUGGGACUGCAAGGCUUGAGUGCGGCAGAGGAGACUGGAAUUCCUGGUGUAGCAGUGAAAUGCGUAGAUAUCAUGAGGAAUACCGAUGGCGAAGGCAGGUCUCUGGGCUGACACUGACGCUCAUGCACGAAAGCGUGGGGAGCAAACAGG